AUGUGUUUGUCCUCUGUCCUUUUGUGUUGGCUGUCCCUGUUGCAGGUGGAGACCCAGCUGCUAGUAAAGGGCUUGUUUGUGAUUGAGUUCGACCCAUCUCACAUGCAGGCAGAAUGGUCAGCCCGCAGUAGGAUGAUUCCCUUCAGAACCUGUGUCUGCCCCAGGGGUGAGUCCUGGGCAUCAAGACCUCAGUUCCAGGAAAAAGGUCGCCAGGAUUUUGUGGACGAAGUCAGAGCUCCAGGAAGUGGAUAUCCUUGUGCUAGAGGGAGCCCAAUACCUCAGCGGCAGAAACUUUCCCCUACUUAUGCAGCAGCCAAGGCCCAGCACCCAGGAAAGGAGGCCACCACCUGCGGUGGAGUCCCUGCUGGAGCAGAUCCCCUGAAAUGCAGCCUGGAGGGGCCCUGUCUCCUCCUCUUCCUGGAUGUUCGCCUCUUGUUGCUCCACAGCAGACCUCUGGGGCCAUUGGUGUGGUCCCCUUGA
rnacentral:lncRNA from 1 species